GACGAACGCUGGCGGCGUGCUUAACACAUGCAAGUCGAACGGAAAGGCCCUGCUUUUGUGGGGUGCUCGAGUGGCGAACGGGUGAGUAACACGUGAGUAACCUGCCCUUGACUUUGGGAUAACUUCAGGAAACUGGGGCUAAUACCGGAUAGGAGCUCCUGCUGCAUGGUGGGGGUUGGAAAGUUUCGGCGGUUGGGGAUGGACUCGCGGCUUAUCAGCUUGUUGGUGGGGUAGUGGCUUACCAAGGCUUUGACGGGUAGCCGGCCUGAGAGGGUGGCCGGCGACAAUAGGCCUGAGAGACGGACCAGACUCGAACAUGAGGCAAUGGUGGGGAGCAUGACACAGUGAGAGGGAGCCGGAUGAAGCAACGCCGCGUGCGGGAUGCCGUCCUGUGGGUAGUGAACCGCUUCCGGCUGUGACGAAGCGUGAGUGACGGUAAUGGGUGAAGAAGCACCGGCUAACUACGUG
rnacentral:rRNA from 1 species